GAUGAACGCUGGCGGCGUGCCUAAUACAUGCAAGUCGAGCGAACAGACGAGGAUCUUGCUCCUUUGACGUUAGCGGCGGACGUGUGAGUAACACGUAGGUACCCUACCUAUAAGACUGGGAUAACUUCGGGAAACCGGAGCUAAUACCGGAUAAUCUUUCGAACCGCAUGGUUCGAUAGUGAAAGAUGGCUUUGCUGUCACUUAUAGAUGGACCUGCGCCGUAUUAGCUAGUUGGUAAGGUAACGGCUUACCAAGGCAACGAUACGUAGCCGACCUGAGAGGGUGAUCGGCCACACGGGAACUGAGACAGGGUCCAGACUCCUACGGGAGGAAGCAGUAGGGAAUCUUCCGCAAUGGGCGAAAGCCUGACGGAGCAACGCCGCGUGAGUGAUGAAGGUCUUCGGAUCGUAAAGCUCUGUUAUUAGGGAAGAACAAACGUGUAAGUAACUGUGCACGUCUUGACGGUACCUAAUCAGAAAGCCACGGCUAACUACGUG
rnacentral:rRNA from 1 species